rnacentral:rRNA from 1 species
UACAGAGGUGGCAAGCGUUGUUCGGAAUUACUGGGCGUAAAGGGCGCGUAGGCGGUCUUUUAAGUCUCGUGUGAAAUCCCUCGGCUCAACUGAGGAACUGCACGGGAUACUGGAUGACUUGAGUUCGGGAGAGGGAAGCGGAAUUCCGGGUGUAGCGGUGAAAUGCGUAGAUAUCCGGAGGAACACCGGUGGCGAAGGCGGCUUCCUGGACCGACACUGACGCUGAGGCGCGAAAGCUAGGGGAGCAAACGGG